CACCCUGCUAUCUGUGCCCAGCUUUCAGAGAGCCUCACUUGUGGCGGUGCAGAGCUUUGGGCACCUGACCCCUGUUCACCUGCCCGCAGGUGGUUUUUCUGGGGUUCACUGGUAGUAGAGCUCAAAUCACAUAGAGUUUUGCCUCAGUGUUACCUGUUUCUUGAAAGCUCUUCGUGAUCACAGAGGUCUUUCAGCUAUUGCUGUGUUCGUUGCACAGCAAAAAAAAAAAAACCAACUUUUUUUGAGAUCUCCAUAGGUUGCCCACGGUUGAGCUAACCAUUUGUUGGCAGCACACCAUAAAGGGCGAUGGAAACGUGCAGCCACGUGCCAAACUGUGAAAACCUUGGAGAGAAAUCACUCUCACACACCACAUAAAUGUAGUUUUCUCUGCAGGAGACGUUUUUCUGAAGCAGAGUUUUGCUUUUACUGGGUUGAAAACAUAUUCUUCCAAGGUCUGUGUGUUGUUUGUGCUUUAUCAGAUACAGUUAGGCCACUCUCGCAGCUGUGAAGUUGUGAAGGCAAACUCCAGCGACCCAUUCCUUCUUCCUUCAGAAAAGCAACUCGAGGAGCAGCGGGAGGAAACCCAGCUCUAUCCUGCAGCGAGCGGGGCUGCGCAAGAGGCAGGUGCUGCUCUCACGGCCCGAAGGCAGCUCCGAGCUGCCGGGUGCGGUCACGUCAGCGGCCGAGCUGCCCGGCGGGGUGUGCAUAAGAGCGAGCUAUAUGUGCUGCGUGUCAUCACGGAGCCUUUCAAGUCCCUCCCUCCUUCUCCACUGCUGGGGCUGCAGUGGGCACCGGGCAGGAGGAGCGGCCGCAGCCCCGCGGGGGUGGGACGAGUCUCUGGGGGCUGCGAUACCACAUGAGCUGGCACAAAAAGCUGUCUGUGCUGAGGAAAACCACAGGAUGCCUUAGGAUGGAGAGCAAUGGGAAGGACUCAGGUUUGGGACCUGCCUUAAAAACUCUUGAGCAUACAGCAGCUUUCAGAGAGAGGUAUUUAUAGCCAUAUGCUUGUAAUGAAGCAGUGAAGGGGAGCACGAGCGGAGAGCCACCUCCCUGGUGGUUCAUAAGAGUUACUAGGAUUAUUAAGCUAUGAAAGCAAAUACUUGCAUGAGUUUUUUCUUAAAGAAUAAAGCAUAAUAAAUACAAUUCA
rnacentral:lncRNA from 1 species